rnacentral:rRNA from 1 species
GUAAUUGUAAGUGGUAGGGGAGCAUUCUAACAGGGUUGAAGGUGUAUCGUCAGGUAUGCUGGACUGGUUAGAAAAGAAAAUGUAGGCAUAAGUAACGAUAAUGCGGGCGAGAAACCCGCACACCGAAAAACUAAGGUUUCCACAGCUAUGCUAAUCAGCUGUGGGUUAGUCUGGUCCUAAGGCGAACCCGAAAGGGACAGUCGAUGGCUAACGGGUUAAUAUUCCCGUACUACUAAUUACUGUGAUGGGGUGACGGAGUGAUGAAAGCGCCGCGAACUGACGGAAUAGUUCGUUGAAGUACCUACCUAUAGGAUCUGCAGGCAAAUCCACAGAUCUUGGGGAAAUACGAUAGUACUCGGAGUCUUCGGACAAAGAGAUAGUGCGCCUAAGGGCUUCCAAGAAAAACCUCUAAACUUCAGGUAAUUAGUACCAGUACCGUAAACCGACACAGGUAGUUGAGGAGAGAAUCCUAAGGUGCUCGAGAGAUUCAUGGCUUGAAUUAGGCAAAAUAGACCUGUAACUUCGGGAGAAAGGUCUCCAGCGCAAGCUGGCCGCAGUGAAGAGGUCCAGGCGACUGUUUAUCAAAAACACAGGGCUCUGCAAAAUCGUAAGAUGAAGUAUAGGGCCUGACACCUGCCCGGUGCUGGAAGGUUAAGAGGAGAUGUUAUCUUCGGAGAAGCAUUGAAUUGAAGCCCCAGUAAACGGCGGCCGUAACAAUAACGGUCCUAAGGUAGCGAAAUUCCUUGUCGGGUAAGUUCCGACCUGCACGAAUGGUGUAACGAUCUGGACACUGUCUCAGCCAUGAGCUUGGUGAAAUUGUAGUAACGGUGAAGAUGCCGUUUACCCGCAGUGGGACGAAAAGACCCUGUGCACCUUUACUAUAGCUUAGUAUUGACCUUGGAUAAAUGAUGUGUAGGAUAGGUUGGAGACUGUGAAGUGGCGUCGCCAGGCGUUGUGGAGUCAUUGUUGAAAUACAACCCUUUGUUUAUCUGAGGCCUAACCCCGUUUUGCGGGGGACAUUGCUUGGUGGGUAGUUUGACUGGGGUGGUCGCCUCCAAAAGAGUAACGGAGGCUUCUAAAGGUUCCCUCAGUACGCUUGGUAACCGUGCGUAGAGUGCAAUGGCAUAAGGGAGCUUGACUGAGAGACAUACAGGUCGAUCAGGUACGAAAGUAGAGCAUAGUGAUCCGGUGGUUCCGCAUGGAAGGGCCAUCGCUCAAAGGAUAAAAGGUACGCCGGGGAUAACAGGCUGAUCUCCCCCAAGAGCUCAUAUCGACGGGGGGGUUUGGCACCUCGAUGUCGGCUCGUCACAUCCUGGGGCUGGAGAAGGUCCCAAGGGUUGGGCUGUUCGCCCAUUAAAGUGGCACGCGAGCUGGGUUCAGAACGUCGUGAGACAGUUCGGUCUCUAUCUACUGUGGGCGUUAGAAAUUUGAGUGGAUCUGAUUCUAGUACGAGAGGACCGAAUUGGACAAACCUCUAGUGUAUCUGUUGUCCCGCCAGGGGCACCGCAGAGUAGCUACGUUUGGAAGGGAUAAGCGCUGAAAGCAUAUAAGCGCGAAACCCACCACAAGAUGAGAUUUCUUUUAAGGAUCGUGGAAGAUGACCACGUUGAUAGGCUAUAGAUGUAAAGGCAGUAAUGUCAUAGUCGAGUAGUACUAAUAAUCC